ACGGUAUUCCGGAGAAUUCCACAUAUUGUGGAUACCGAAGGUGCAAGGCAUAAUGCUAAUCUCUCAGGUCAAAGGACGGAAA
rnacentral:ncRNA from 1 species